rnacentral:rRNA from 1 species
CCUACGAGUGGCAGCAGUGAGGAAUAUUGGUCAAUGGGAGAGAUCCUGAACCAGCCAAGCCGCGUGAGGGAAGACGGCCCUAUGGGUUGUAAACCUCUUUUGUCGGAGAACAAAACCCGGGACGUGUCCCGGACUGCGUUUAUACGAAGAAAAAGCAUCGGCUAACUCCGUGCAAGCAGCGUCGGUACUACGGAGGAUGCGAGCGUUAUCCGGAUUUAUUGGGUUUAAAGGGUGCGUAGGCUGUCCGUUAAGGCAGCGGUAAAAUUGCGGGGCUCAACCCCGUCGAGCCGUUGAAACGGGCAGACUUGAGUUGGCUAGAAGUACGCGGAAUGCGCGGUGUAGCGGUGAAAUGCAUAGAUAUCGCGCAGAACUCCGAUUGCGAAGGCAGCGUACCGGCGCCAGACUGACGCUGAGGCACGAAAGCGUGGGGAUCGAACAGGAUUAGAUACCCGGGUAGUC